GGAUAAGCAGGCUGGAAGAGCCGACUCCUACGGCUGCGAUCCAAGAGGUGCCUGCAACAGUUGCCCCCCGACUUCUGUCGCCCCCAUGGAGGCAAACAAGUCUGGAACAGGGAAUGGGGGUCUGGGAGAGAAGAUGAAAAGACUGAGGAUCAGAGAGGUGAGCAGUAGCUUUCCCAAAGGCCCAGAGCCAAGAAGCGUUGAAGCUUAAAAGCACGCCGCGGCAGGGAAGAUCAAGCAAGCCCUGCGCCUAUCUGCAGCUUGAUCUCUCUGUACUGAGCCAUGGAGCUCCUUCUUGGAGGCGUGAAAUGCUCCCCAUCCUUCAGGAGACAACAGCAACAGCCAGCCACUCCUUGUCCAGUCAGCAAUGCUGGAAUACCUCUGCAGCUCACAGUCCAACGCCCACAGCCUUCGAGUCAGUUUCUUGAUAUUCGGCAAUGCACUGGACUCCUGAUCCCAUCAGCUCCUGGCUGAAGGUGGGCCAACCCUUCCCCAUUUCCUUCAAUUCAAACAUUUCCUCAUGUCCCUCAGUGCCAAGCCCUGUGCUGGGAGCUGAGGACCCAGAGGUGAGCUAGAUCUAAAAUCUGACCUCAAGGAGCUAACAGUCUGAGAGGAAGACUGGAGUGGAUAAAAAUACCUUGGUAAUUUAUCACUUAAUAAAUAUCCAAUAAAUGCUAUUAUGUGCCAA
rnacentral:lncRNA from 1 species